rnacentral:lncRNA from 7 species
UGCUUGUCGUGACGAUCGGUCUGGUGAUGGCGGUGCUCGGAUCCCUGAUGAUGGCGAGCAAUUACCGAGCCACCGGGUCAUCGCGGCGCCCGCUGCCACCACGCCCAGGUUCCUAGCAAUCUAGAGAAGCUCCUUAUCCACUAUCCGAGACGUCAGCGCCAGAGCACCGGUGUUUCCCCCCGCGGUGGCACCGCGGCGGACCCCUGGCUCCAACGAAGCAUCCUGGGCACUCCAAACGGUCCCCGCCCUCAAUCUCCACCACCCACCAUCCCUGUGCAUUGCAUUGCCUCCAGGGUCGGUCACCGUGGCCUGACCGGCGGUUUGGGUGGGGAUAGGCUGUGGCGGCUCUCGUCUCGCUCUCCCUCCCAAUCUCUGUGCGAAGCUCUCGGUGAUGUUGUGUCUUGGGGACUUCA